CUGGUGGUCACUGAUGGUCACUGGUGGUCACUGGUGCUCACUGGUCACUCCUGGUCAUUCAUGGUCACUGGUGCUCACUGGUCACUGGUGGUCACUUGAGGUUUCUGAUGGCCACUGGUCACCAAUGGUCACUGGUGGUCAAUGGUCACUCAUGGUCAUUCAUGGUCACUGGUGGUCACUGGUCACUGGUGGAUGCUGGUGGUCACUGGUCACCGGUGGUCACUGGUGGUCACUGGUCACUGGUGGUUACUGGUCACUGGUCACUCCUGGUCAAUGCUCACUGGUGGUCACUGGUGGUCAUUCCCAGUCACAGGUGGUCACUGGUGGUCACUGGUGGUCAAUGGUCACUCCUGCUCAAUGCUCACAGUUGGUCACUGGUGGUCACUGGUGGUCACUGGUGGUCACUGGUCACUGGUCGUUGGUCACUGUUGGUCACUGGUGGUCACUGCUGGUCACUGCUGGUCACUGGUGGUCACUGUUGGUCACUCCCGGUCCUUGGUGGUCACUCCUGGUCACUUGUGGUCACUGGUGGUCACUGGUCACUGUUGGUCAUUGGUCACUCCUGAUCAUUUGCAGUCACUCCUGGUUA